GCGUGUUGCACGACGACUUCCUCUAUGUUGUGAUUCCUCUUCUGAAUUGAAAUCUAGGGUUUGCCUGCGUCCAACAAAGUUUGUAGUUUGAGCCGUUCGUCCGAGCGACAGAAAUUCAAUUGGGUUAUCCUUAAUUGUUGCCCAACAGCCCUUGGUUUGGGAUCUAGAACCCAAUUGGGAGGUGGUGGUUAGUGGGUUCUGGUCGAAUGUUUACAUUGGUUAUCUAUGAAGCGCGGCGACGAUCACGAAUCGCGGUUCCGAAGCCAAAACAGUGGAGGGGUUUUCAGAUCUACAACCCCUAAUUGAUGUUCUUACCGUCUACUGUGCAGCACGCCUCUUGCAUGCCUUGUUAUCGUGGGAUCGGCCGAAUCGACCUCAUAUGAAAUCAAAUUUAGGGUUUUCUCUGUGGUCGAGAUUUGGGUUCGGCAGAAGUUCCCACUCGCCUUCGCCCAUCGUGGCUGUGAGAGGCGUCAAUUGCUUAUCUACGAGGCCUCCAUCCAAUUUCGACUCAUCUCCUCUGCCUCUCUCUCUGUCCCUCUCUGCCGCCGUCGCCGUUGCCGCCAUCAUUCCCUUCAUCGGUACGUAACCUUCUUCAUUCUAUACACUCUUUCGAUCCCCUUUCUAUUAUUGUAAUCUUGCUCACCCUGUUUGAUGAAAUGCGUCUGAGAUCUCUCUUUUACGAUCAGUUGAAUUGAAUAUGAUAAGGUUUGCAAUUUUGAUUAACAUGAACAACUCUAUAUUGAACACUGAAAUGCUUUAUGUAUUGUGCUGGUGUUUCCGGGUCGAACCCAAAGUUUCAGUCAGGGCCGGCGAACUCAUCGAAAUCGAAAUCCAGAGCCUUCACGCCUGAAAUAGAUGUACAAUUUGAAUAUGUAGUCUCAGCCAAAUCUGGAGCACAACACAGAAUUCAGGAGCACAACUCACAUCCAAAUUCAGCUGUAAGUUCUCUAUUCACAAUUGGAUAUUGAGAUUUCUGAUCAUAAUGUUAGAACUGAAAACGAAACAAUAAGAAUUUCUCUGUUUGGUGCAAAUCCGAUUUUUCUAAUUUCAUUUUUCAAAUUGUUGAUAAAGAUGUGUGUGAAUCCAUAGUAGCUGACAUUGUUUUAUUGAAGUUACGGUGAAAUAGAUUGCUAGUGUGUGUUAGAGAUUAACUUGUAGUGCUAGAUGUGUGUGAUUCGUACAGGUUAGUGUUUGCUUAUUAUGAAAUUUACCCAAUUCUAAUUACAGUGGUGAGUGGGUUAUAGUAUAGGGAGCAAGAAAUUUAAUCCUUGUUGUAUUAGAGGAUCCGGAACUUGAUGAUGGUGGUCUCCGAUUCAGCGAGGAGAAUUAUUACCACCAGUUGUGUUCACAACGGAGAAGAUAACUGACUGGAUUUUGAUAUUAGCAUUAGUACAGUUCUGUACUUAUAGACCUUGGUUGCUCCAUCAUGAUAUCUGUUCAAAAAGCAACUGAAGCAUUUGGUGAAGCAUCUGCCCUCAUUUACCAUCGUCGUACCUGAUUCGUACAAGGUAUUGAACAAGGCAAUGGCAAUGCUUAGUCAUGAUUGAAUGUAAAGUAAGAAGCAGCAUAGGAGUUUUUGACCAUAUCUAACUGUUGAACUUAGUUUUUCAUCUGCCUAUUUUGAUGAGUAGUUCUGCUGCAAUGUUUUGAUUUUGAUUUUGUUGACUUCUCUUCUUUGGGGUUGUACUUGUUAUGUCAGCCCAUUAUUAAAAGAGAACAAUUAAAUGUCUUUCAUCAUAAUAAUAAUAUUGCGUGCAAUCUUAUUAUUAGACUUCUGGACCUUUUCUAU